rnacentral:rRNA from 1 species
UUUCUCCAACCUGUGCACAUUUUGUAGACCCUGGAGAUUUUAUGAAUUUUGAUUCGAUUCGGGACUGCUGAUGCUUCCCUUUGUUGAAGCCGGCUUUGCCUUGCACCUCCAGGUCUAUGUCAUUUUUCACAACCUCUUUUUAAAAAAACAUGUUUGGAAAAAAUAUAAAUGAAAUAUACAACUUUCAGCAACGGAUCUCUUGGCUCUCGCAUCGAUGAAGAACGCAGCGAAAUGCGAUAAGUAAUGUGAAUUGCAGAAUUCAGUGAAUCAUCGAAUCUUUGAACGCAUCUUGCGCUCCUUGGUAUUCCGAGGAGCAUGCCUGUUUGAGUGUCAUUUAACUUCUCAACCACAUCAGAUGUAUUUUUGAUGUGGCUUGGAUUUGGGGGUCGUUUGCAGGCUUUUCUGUGAAAAGAAAGGUCGGCUCCCCUGAAAAGUAUUAGUGGUAUCUGAGCUACUGCUAUAGGUGUGAUAAUUAUCUAUGCCUUUGGUAUGCUGCAUGAAACAGAUUGCGCUGCUUAUUAACUGAACUUGAUAAAUUUGACCUCAAAUCAGGUAGGACUACCCGCUGAACUUAAGCAUAUCAAUAAGCGGAGGAAAAGAAACUAACAAGGAUUCCCCUAGUAACUGCGAGUGAAGCGGGAAGAGCUCAAAUUUGAAAUCUGGCGGUUCUUGAACUGUCCGAGUGUAAUCUAGAGAACGUA